UACGUAGGGUCCGAGCGUUGUCCGGAAUUACUGGGCGUAAAGAGCUCGUAGGUGGUUUGUCGCGUUGUUCGUGAAAAACUCACAGCUCAACUGUGGGCGUGCGGGCGAUACGGGCAGACUUGAGUACUGCAGGGGAGACUGGAAUUCCUGGUGUAGCGGUGGAAUGCGCAGAUAUCAGGAGGAACACCGGUGGCGAAGGCGGGUCUCUGGGCAGUAACUGACGCUGAGGAGCGAAAAGCGUGGGGAGCGAACAGG
rnacentral:rRNA from 1 species